GCCUGGUUAGCUCAGAUGGCAGAGCGGCUGCCCCGGUAAGGCGGUGGUCCCGGGUUCGAUUCCCGGACCAGGACG